ensembl:snoRNA small nucleolar RNA SNORD72
GUCGUGUCAGUGAUGUUUCAAACACAAAUGUCUGAACAUAUGAUAUUUCAAUGAUUCUCAUGAUGUUACUGAGACACGUU